rnacentral:rRNA from 1 species
GAUGAACGCUGGCGGCGUGCCUAAUACAUGCAAGUCGAGCGAACAGACGAGGAGCUUGCUCCUCUGACGUUAGCGGCGGACGGGUGAGUAACACGUGGAUAACCUACCUAUAAGACUGGGAUAACUUCGGGAAACCGGAGCUAAUACCGGAUAAUAUAUUGAACCGCAUGGUUCAAUAGUGAAAGACGGUUUUGCUGUCACUUUUAGAUGGUUCCGCGCCGCAUUAGCUAGUUGGUAAGGUAACGGCUUACCAAGGCAACGAUGCGUAGCCGACCUGAGAGGGUGAUCGGCCACACUGGAACUGAGACACGGUCCAGACUCCUACGGGAGGCAGCAGUAGGGAAUCUUCCGCAAUGGGCGAAAGCCUGACGGAGCAACGCCGCGUGAGUGAUGAAGGUCUUCGGAUCGUAAAACUCUGUUAUUAGGGAAGAACAAAUGUUUAAGUACCUAUGCACGUCUUGACGGUACCUAAUCAGAAAGCCACGGCUAACUACGUG